GUUCCGUAGGUGAACCUGCGGAAGGAUCAUUAUUGGAUUUUGAAACUUCAGGCUGCUGCUGGCUCUCCUCGGAGGGCAUGUGCACGCUUGUUGUCCAUUAUUUCUCCCACUGUGCACAAAUUGUAGACCUUUCAGUAGGCCUAUGUUGUUUUUCACAAUCUCUGGAUGUAAUAGAAUGGUUUUGAAUCUUGGGAAAUACAAUACAACUUUCAGCAACGGAUCUCUUGGCUCUC
rnacentral:misc_RNA from 1 species